CCGGAUGCGCGGAAGGUCGCUCGUCUGCGGCGGAGUCCCUCCGUCGCCAGGCGGGAGGAAAGUCCGAGCACCCCUGGGCCACGGUGGUGGGUAACGCCCACCGCCCCGGUUCGCGAGGACCGGGGCAGGGACAGUGCCACAGAAAACAAACCGCCCUGAGCGCGCGAGGGCUCCGCCCGAGCGAGUCGAAGGGUAAGGGUGAAACGGUGCGGUAAGAGCGCACCGCGGCGGCCGUGAGGUCGUCGGCACGGCAAACCCCACCGGGUGCAAGGCCAAGCAGCGGCGAAGGCCCGGCCCAGGCCGAUCCGCCGCGGGUAGGCCGCUUGCCGUCAGCGCGUCGAAAGGCGUGCCCCCAGCGCGCGAGGGCAUCGCCCGAGCGAGUCGAAGGGCUUGCCUGAAGACGGGCCACAAGCAGAGCGUGGCCGCGAGGUCGCGCCAAGAUAAAUGGCCUUCGCGUCGUCGCCUCGGCCCGAGGCGACGGCGUACAGAACUCGGCUUACAGCGCACCCGGCCGG
rnacentral:RNase_P_RNA from 1 species